GUGAGACCCUGUCUCUAAAACAAAAAUAAAUAAAUAAAUAAAAAUAAAUUUUAAUGAGCUCAACCUAAAAUUACAAGGCAAAAUGGUGCCUAUAUGCAAAAUUCAUACCACAGUAAAGCCAUUUCAGUAAUAACUGAUGUUGCUUGAAUCACAAAGUAAUAUCAAACUGCUUUAUAUACUUCCCAUGCUGUCAAAAUUAAAAGAAGAUAUUCAUUCCGACACACAUUUCAAGGAGUGUUUUUUGACCUCACAUUACAGUUCCAGCAGUAUUCUUCUGCCCUUAAUGUAAGUGCAAAGAAAAUUUCCAUAUUCACAAAUCCACUUAACUGCACAACUGAGGAGCUUCUACUUCAAUUGGAAGUGAUUAAUCUGCAAUAUAAUAACUAAAAGACAAAAAUCAAGAAAAGAAUCUAACGGAAUUUUAUAAAUGUCUUUCAAGCAAUGAACAUGAUCACAGAUUGCAACCAAAUUUGGCAAUACCUAUCUGUGUGAAGACAUUUUCAAAGAUGAAAUGUUUAAAAUCUCAUUACAGAUUAGCAUUAAAAGAUAAAUGUUUGUAAUCAAUUCUGAUAACAAGGAACAUUAAUUUAGAACCCUAAUCAAGUAAAGUGCUAAGUCCCCAAAAGGAAUUCCAUUUUAAAAUUUAUGCAUUUUAAUUACAAAAAAUUGUGCUAAAUAAUUAUUAUUACACUUUGAAUUUUGUCCAAAAACUGUGGACAUUUAUUUUUUCUCAUUAUAGAUUUAUGUUUACAGGAUACCUUCAAUUUUGCCUCUUAGCCCACAAAGCCUAAAUAUAUAUAUACUGUUUAGCCCUUUGCUGAAAAAGUUUGCUGAUAUCUGGUCUGAAUCAUUUGAAUUCUAAUUGUGUUCAAUUUAUAUAUCCAUAUGAGGUUAUUUCGACUUUAGGAAAUGGGGGGAUAGGAAGCCAGAGGCAAAAAGAGAUGAGUUGUUUUCUUCUCAUUUUGAUAUCUGCAUGACAAUCACUAAGAUAAAUAUUGAUAGCAUUUCAAAAUCUAAAUGACAGAUAUAAGUUAAUAAAUAACAUGCAACAAAAUACAAAGGAGAGCUAAAUCUAAAAGUUGAGAACAUCAUCAACUUCUUCCAUCUGCUUUUAGUCUGCUAUCAAAAAAGGUAAUAUUGUAUUAAUUUUAGGUAAUAAAAAUACUGGUCAAAAAACUAAGGAAAAUGAUUAUUUAAAAAAAUAAAUAAACUAAAGUAUAGGACCAAUAAGAAAAAUACUAAAGGAGACAAACUUUGUCUUCCGCAGCAUCAAUUCAACUCUUUACAAACUGAGAGUUUGAGAAAAGAGGGGUAACAUGAAAAAAGAUAAAUGUUAAUUACUCUAUCUAAAGGCUAACCUUGGUGCCUUUCUGUCUGGCGGCAGCCAUCAAGCAAGCCAAGAUGGGUUCAUACAAGUACAUCCAGGAGCUAUGGAGAAAGCAGUCUGAUGUCAUCAUGUGCUUUCUUCUGAGGAUCCACUGCUGGCAGUACCGCCAGCUCUCUGCUCUCCACAGGGGUCCCCGCCCCAUCCGGCCUGAUAAAUUACGCAGACUGGGCUACAAGGCCAAGAAAGGUUACGUUAUAUAUAGGAUUCGUAUUCGCCGUGGUGACUGAAAACGCCCAGUUCCUAAGGGUGCAACAUAUGGCAAGCCUGUCCAUCAUGGUGUUAACCAGCUAAAGUUUGCUCACAGCUUCAGUAUGUUGCUGAAGAGGAGUGAGCUGGACGCCACUAUGGGGCUCUUAAGAGUCCUGAAUUCUUACUGGGUUGGUGAAGAUUCCACAUAGAGAUUUUUUGAGGUUAUCCUCAUUGAUCCAUUCCAUAAAAUUAUCAGAAGAAAUCCUGACACCCAUGGAUCACCGAACCAGUCCACAAGCACAGGGAGAUGUGUGGGCUAACAUCAUCUUCAGGCCAAAAGGGCCGUGGCCUUUGAAAGAGCCAUAAGUUCCACCGCACAAUUGGUGGUUCUCACCAGGCAGCUUGGAGAAGGCGCAAUAUUCUCCAGCUCCACCGUUACCACUAAUAUAAGUAAAGUUUGUAAAAUUCAUACCUAAUAAACUAUUUAGGGCAGUCAUGUCUGCUUACAGGUGUUAUUUGUCCAUUAAAACUAGUCUGCAGAUUAUUUCAUGAAUGUCAAAUUAAGAAAGUUAAAGUGCAAUAAUGUUUGAAGACAAUAAGUGAUGUUGUAUCUUGUUUCCAGUAAGAUAAACAUUUUUGUCUUUGCUUUAUCUUACUAGGGAGUUAUAUGUCAGUGUAUAAAACAUACUGUGUAGUAUGAUAGGUUUAAAAUAAAUUCUUUAAAAAAGGAGUACUGAAACUAGCCCUGUAGAUUUGUCUGGUGCAUGUGAUGAAACCUGCAGCUUUAUUGGGGUGAUGGCAAUGUUCUGCUGGUUUACUUUCAAGUGGCUGGGUUUUUCAGUUUGGCAGGUACAGACUUUUUAAAUUGGGCUUUGCUUUAAAAAUUGUAGGGUGGGAGGAGGACAUCUUAACUAUGUCAUGAUUAUAUUUAGAAAAUUACGGGGACAAAUCGGGGUUAGCCUGAGGAAAACUGCCUCAGUCUCCACAGUACCAUUUUAAGUUCACAUAAAAGGUGAAAGCUCCUGGUUCGGUGCCAUGGCUUCAUGGCAUUCAGUGGUUAGUGGUAAUGGUAUUAACACUAGUAUGUUUUGAAACUGAAUGUUAGAUAAAAUUAUCAGUUUUAAGGUUGGUAAGCCAGCAAUCAAUAUGCUAGGGUGGGAAGCUGGUGAGCCAGUGGCCAUUAGAUAAAUACCUUUAAAGUGUGAGCUUAGAAGUCAACCUUAAAAUACGUAACCAUAACACUAAUUUGUGAUCAUUAUGAAACCCUUCAGUCACAUUCAGGGGAAAGUAGUUGGCUAUAAGUACCUCAUUCUUAUUCAGUCUUAAAAACAUCUUGGUUACCCACUGUGUCUACUCCCAUAGGCUACAGAAAAAGUCAUACAAGUGCAUGGUUUCCAACUGUAUGUGUUUUCUGCAGUUAUUUCUCUUGUUCCUGGCCAAACUACCCUAAAAAUCCUUACCAUUCCACAAAGUUGGGCCAACACUUAUGCAUCCACUUUCAGUGAAAGUAUACCACCACUUCCAUCAUGUCUUCCAGGAGACUAGGCUACUGCUUUCCAGGGUGAAUUUGAGUGUGAAGGAAAUAUAGACAAGGAAUUGUCCAAUUCUAAAUUCUGACUUUGCUGACUUAAUUUAAAUGCUUGCUUCUCUGAACCAAUUUUCUCCUAUCUUCUCUAGGGGUUUCAAAAGGCUUAGUUAAUUGAUUUCCAGGAAAUACUCACAGCAAGUUCAUAAAAGUUCUUGAGACCUAAAUUUCUUCUCAAAAAAAGAAAAGAUCUUAAGUCAUACAUUUUGAUUGUGUAGAGGUUGUUCAACUAAAGGAAUAAAUGUCUAUUAAACUAAAAAAAA